AGUGAACGCUGGCGGCGUGCUUAACACAUGCAAGUCGAACGAGAACGGACUAAAGCUUGCUUUAGUUGUCAGCUAAGUGGCGCACGGGUGAGUAAUGUAUAGGUAAUAUGCCUCUUAGUAAGGGAUAACAAGCGGAAACGCUUGCUAAUACCUUAUAUGCCUUUUAAACACAAGUUUGUAAAGGGAAAGAUUUAUCGCUAAGAGAUUGGCCUGUAUGGUAUCAGCUUGUUGGUGGGGUAAAGGCCUACCAAGGCUAUGACGCCUAACUGGUUUGAGAGGAUGAUCAGUCACACUGGAACUGAGACACGGUCCAGACUCCUACGGGAGGCAGCAGUGGGGAAUAUUGCACAAUGGGCGAAAGCCUGAUGCAGCAACGCCGCGUGGAGGAUGACACUUUUCGGAGCGUAAACUCCUUUUAUAUAGGAAGAUAAUGACGGUACUAUAUGAAUAAGCACCGGCUAACUCCGUGCCAGCAGCCGCGGUAAUACGGAGGGUGCAAGCGUUACUCGGAAUCACUGGGCGUAAAGAGCGUGUAGGCGGAUAAGUAAGUUUGAAGUGAAAUCCUAUGGCUCAACCAUAGAACUGCUUUGAAAACUGCUUAUCUAGAGUAUGGGAGAGGCAGAUGGAAUUUCUGGUGUAGGGGUAAAAUCCGUAGAUAUCAGAAGGAAUACCGAUUGCGAAGGCGAUCUGCUGGAACAUUACUGACGCUAAGACGCGAAAGCGUGGGGAGCAAACAGG
rnacentral:rRNA from 1 species